rnacentral:rRNA from 1 species
UACGGGGGGAGCAAGCGUUGUUCGGAUUUACUGGGCGUAAAGGGCGCGUAGGCGGCCACUGCACGUCGGUUGUGAAAUCUCCGGGCUUAACCCGGAAAGGUCAAUCGAUACUGCAGGGCUAGAGUGCAGAAGGGGCAACUGGAAUUCUCGGUGUAGCGGUGAAAUGCGUAGAUAUCAGGAAGAACACCCGUGGCGAAAGCGGCUCUCUGGAACGGUACUGACGCUGAGACGCGAAAGCGUGGGGAGCGAACAGG